rnacentral:rRNA from 1 species
GAUGAACGCUGGCGGCGUGCCUAAUACAUGCAAGUCGAGCGGCAGGACGAGGGGUUUGCUCUGCUGACGUUAGCGGCGGGCGGGUGAGUAACACGUGGAUAACCCCCCUAGAAGACUGGGAUCACUUCGGGACAGCGGAGAUACUACAGACUAAUAACUUGAAAAACAUGGUUCAAUUGUGAACGCCGGCUUUGCUGUUACUUGUAGAUGGAUCCGCGCUGCAUUAGCUAGUUGGUCAGGUAACGGCUUACCAAGGCGACGAUGCGUAGCCGGCCUGAGAGGGUGACCGGCCACACUGGAACUGAGACACGGCCCAGACUCCUACGGGAGGCAGCAGUGGGGAAUUUUCGGCAAUGGGCGAAAGCCUGAUCGAGCAAUGCCGCGUGUGUGAUGAAGGCCUUCGGGUCGUAAAGCACUUUUAUUAGGGAAGAACACAUGUGUACUAAACCAGUCACGUCUUGACGGUACCGAAUCAGAAAGCCACGGCUAACUACGUG